CGAGUCGGCCGGGUGACCGCGGGCUAAGGCUUGAGGAAAGUCCGGACUCCACAGAGCGAGGUGGUGGGCAACACCCACCUGGGGCGACCCACGGGACAGUGCCACAGAGAACAGACCGCCUCGGCCCGCCGGGCCGGGGUAAGGGUGAAACGGUGGUGUAAGAGACCACCAGCGGCCCGGGCGACCGGGCCGGCUCGGUAAACCCCACCUGGAGCACGGCCGAGAAGGCCCCUUAGGGGGCCGCGUCGACGUUCGAGGGCGGCUCGCCCGAGUCGACGGGUGGGCCGCACGCCCGGCCCGGAACCGCUCCGCGGGACCGGGCCGCCGGGGCGAAGGCGUCUGGCAACAGGCGUCGCAGAUAGAUGGUCACCGGCCGCGAGGCCACAGAAUCCGGCUUACAGGCCGACUCGUCCA
rnacentral:RNase_P_RNA from 1 species